rnacentral:rRNA from 1 species
AUAAGAGGCCCAGCCUGCCCAGUGACCCAAUUCAACGGCCGCGGUAUCCUGACCGUGCGAAGGUAGCGUAAUCACUUGUUCUUUAAAUAAGGACUAGUAUGAACGGCAUCACGAGGGCUGUACUGUCUCCCGCCUUUAAUCAGUGAACUUAAUCUCCCCGUGAAGAAGCGGGGAUAAUCUCAUAAGACGAGAAGACCCCAUGGAGCUUUAAACAAAGGGCACCUGCUAACCAAAUCACCCAAGGCAAGCAUUUUGACCCGACGUUUUCGGUUGGGGCGACCACGGAGAACAACCCACCCUCCAUGCUGAAAGAUACCCUCUAAGCCAAAAUAAACCUAUUUAAGCAUCAGCACCCUGACACCCAUUGACCCAAUCUACUUGAUCAACGAACCAAGUUACCCUGGGGAUAACAGCGCAAUCCACUUCAAGAGCCCCUAUCGACAAGUGGGUUUACGACCUCGAUGUUGG